GAUGAACGCUGGCGGCGUGCCUAAUACAUGCAAGUCGAGCGAACAGACGCGGAGCUUGCUUCUCUUACGUUAGCGGCGGACGGGUGAGUAACACGUGGAUAACCUACCUAUAAGACUGGGAUAACUUCGGGAAACCGUAGCUAAUACCGGAUAAUAUUUUGAACCGCAUGGUUCAAUAGUGAAAGACUGUUUUGCUGUCACUUAUAGAUGGAUCCGCGCUGCAUUAGCUAGUUGGUAAGGUAACGGCUUACCAAGGCAACGAUGCGUAGCCGACCUGAGAGGGUGAUCGGCCACACUGGAACUGAGACACGGUCCAGACUCCUACGGGAGGCAGCAGUAGGGAAUCUUCCGCAAUGGGCGAAAGCCUGACGGAGCAACGCCGCGUGAGUGAUGAAGGUCUUCGGAUCGUAAAACUCUGUUAUUAGGGAAGAACAAAUGUGUAAGUAACUGUGCACGUCUUGACGGUACCUAAUCAGAAAGCCACGGCUAACUACGUG
rnacentral:rRNA from 1 species